GUUGCCAUGAGGCCAGGCCUGUUCCGAGGGAUGGUUGUUGACUUGUUGGCAUCUAGUCCUUAGGCACCCAUACUGUUUAUCCUUUGUAGCGGGCAUGUGUGGUAGGUAAUGAGAAACUAUUUAUGAUUGGUGGACAUGAGGGAGACUUUAUGACUAAACCAGGAUCACCUGUUUUUAAAUGUUGGUGGAACUACAGAGAAGCAUGCCAUCACCAAGAAGCUGAUUCUUGUUGGUGAAGUCUUCCGUUUUGAUUUGGAAGCAUUGACCUGGUCAGUCAUUGGGCGCAUGCCUUUCCGAAUCAAGACAUCCUUAUCUAGGUACUGACUACUGAGAGGGGAGGGGGGGCGGCUCUGUUUUACUUCUGGGCAGCGAGAUCAUGGGCCUGACAAUCCAGCUCCAAAGAAAGUUGUUGGGAGUCUGGGACUAUGUGGAGAACGAGGCUGCACUUGUGAUGGCAGAAGUUGUGACAGUUUGUUUCCCCUGAAAAUUGUAGAUUUGCAUCUGAUUUCCUGUCCAACAGCUAGGUCCCUUUCAGAGAAGAGAGUUGCUUGUUUUGAUUCCCACAUCCGGAAUCUGAAGUUCAGAGAUGUCUCCAAACAACCAGAAGAUAUGUACGUAAGCAACUACCAAAGAUCAUUCUUAUUGGAGAUAUUCAGCACAAAGCCCACCCACCAAAUAAUCCUGAUGUUCUUCUUUCCCUAGCUGUUCCAGAGAGGUCGGAACUGUUUGGGGCUUUCAUUAGCCAAUUAAAAUAUUAAGUAGCAAGCUGAGUACCAUGUCAGUAUUAAAUCUGUCUCUGUAAUUGCCUCCGAAAUUGGUGUGCGUGUUUCUCAUCUUGUUGGUUUCUUAGUAUAUGUAAUCUGCACUCAGAGGUACAA